UACGGGAGGCAGCAGUGGGGAAUAUUGCACAAUGGGCGCAAGCCUGAUGCAGCCAUGCCGCGUGUAUGAAGAAGGCCUUCGGGUUGUAAAGUACUUUCAGUCGUGAGGAAGAUGUUAAGGUUAAUAACCUUAGCAAUUGACGUUAGCGACAGAAGAAGCACCGGCUAACUCCGUGCCAGCAGCCGCGGUAAUACGGAGGGUGCGAGCGUUAAUCGGAAUUACUGGGCGUAAAGGGCACGCAGGCGGUUAAUUAAGUUGGAUGUGAAAUCCCCGGGCUUAACCUGGGAAUGGCAUUCAAGACUGGUUAGCUAGAGUCUUGUAGAGGGGGUAGAAUUCCAUGUGUAGCGGUGAAAUGCGUAGAGAUGUGGAGGAAUACCGGUGGCGAAGGCGGCCCCUGGGACAAAGACUGACGCUCAUGUGCGAAAGCGUGGGGAGCAAACAGGAUUAGGAUACC
rnacentral:rRNA from 1 species